AGUGAACGCUGGCGGUAGGCCUAACACAUGCAAGUCGAACGGCAGCACAGUAAGAGCUUGCUCUUACGGGUGGCGAGUGGCGGAAGGGUGAGGAAUACAUCGGAAUCUACUUUUUCGUGGGGGAUAACGUAGGGAAACUUACGCUAAUACCGCAUACGACCUACGGGUGAAAGCAGGGGAUCUUCGGACCUUGCGCGAUUGAAUGAGCCGAUGUCGGAUUAGCUAGUUGGCGGGGUAAAGGCCCACCAAGGCGACGCUCCGUAGCUGGUCUGAGAGGAUGAUCAGCCACACUGGAACUGAGACACGGUCCAGACUCCGACGGGAGGCAGCAGUGGGGAAUAUUGGACAAUGGGCGCAAGCCUGAUCCAGCCAUACCGCGUGGGUGAAGAAGGCCUUCGGGUUGUAAAGCCCUUUUGUUGGGAAAGAAAAGCAGCAGGUUAAUACCCCGCUGUUCUGACGGUACCCAAAGAAUAAGCACCGGCUAACUUCGUG
rnacentral:rRNA from 1 species